AAUCAACGCUGGCGGCGUGCCUCAGACAUGCAAGUCGAACGAUUAAAGCUCUCUUCGGAGAGUGUAUAGAGUGGCGCACGGGUGAGUAACACGUAAGUAAUCUACCCUCGAGUGGGGAAUAACAACCGGAAACGGUUGCUAAUACCGCAUAAUGCAGCGGCACCGCAAGGUGACAGUUGUUAAAGAUUUAUCGCUUGAGGAGGAGCUUGCGGCAGAUUAGCUAGUUGGUAAGGUAAUGGCUUACCAAGGCUACGAUCUGUAACCGGUCUUAGAGGACGGUCGGUCACACUGACACUGAAUAACGGGUCAGACUCCUACGGGAGGCAGCAGUCGGGAAUUUUGGGCAAUGGGCGAAAGCCUGACCCAGCAACGCCGCGUGAAGGAUGAAGUAUUUCGGUAUGUAAACUUCGAAAGAAUAGGAAGAAUAAAUGACGGUACUAUUUAUAAGGUCCGGCUAACUACGUG
rnacentral:rRNA from 1 species